rnacentral:rRNA from 1 species
AUUGAACGCUGGCGGAAUGCUUUACACAUGCAAGUCGAACGGCAGCACGGGUGCUCGCACCUGGUGGCGAGUGGCGAACGGGUGAGUAACAUAUCGGAACGUACCCAGUAAUGGGGGAUAACUAACCGAAAGGUUAGCUAAUACCGCAUACGCCCUGAGGGGGAAAGCGGGGGAUCGAAAGACCUCGCGUUAUUGGAGCGGCCGAUAUCUGAUUAGCUAGUUGGUGGGGUAAAGGCCUACCAAGGCGACGAUCAGUAGCUGGUCUGAGAGGACGACCAGCCACACUGGGACUGAGACACGGCCCAGACUCCUACGGGAGGCAGCAGUGGGGAAUUUUGGACAAUGGGCGCAAGCCUGAUCCAGCCAUGCCGCGUGCGGGAAGAAGGCCUUCGGGUUGUAAACCGCUUUUGGCAGGAACGAAACGGCGCGGGUUAACACCUCGCGCUAAUGACGGUACCUGCAGAAUAAGCACCGGCUAACUACGUGCCAGCCGCCGCCGUAAUAC